GCUGGGCAUGGUGGCGCAUGCCUGUAGUCCCAGCUACUCAGGAGGCUGAGGCAGGAUAAUUGCUUGAACCUGGGAGGCGGAGGUUGCAGUGAGCAGAUAUAGCACCACUGCACUCCAGCCUGGGUGACAAAGUGAGACUCUGUCUCAG
rnacentral:sRNA from 1 species